GAUGAACGCUGGCGGCGUGCCUAAUACAUGCAAGUCGAGCGAACAGACGAGGAGCUUGCUCCUCUGACGUUAGCGGCGGACGGGUGAGUAACACGUGGAUAACCUACCUAUAAGACUGGGAUAACUUCGGGAAACCGGAGCUAAUACCGGAUAAUAUAUUGAACCGCGUGGUUCAAUAGUGAAAGACGGUUUUGCUGUCACUUAUAGAUGGAUCCGCGCCGCAUUAGCUAGUUGGUAAGGUAACGGCUUACCAAGGCAACGAUGCGUAGCCGACCUGAGAGGGUGAUCGGCCACACUGGAACUGAGACACGGUCCAGACUCCUACGGGAGGCAGCAGUAGGGAAUCUUCCGCAAUGGGCGAAAGCCUGACGGAGCAACGCCGCGUGAAUGAUGAAGGUCUUCGGAUCGUAAAACUCUGUUAUUAGGGAAGAACAAAUGUGUAAGUAACUAUGCACGUCCUGACGGUACCUAAUCAGAAAGCCACGGCUAACUACGUG
rnacentral:rRNA from 1 species